AUGCAGCAGAGGAUGAUGAUGAUGGCCAGGGCCAGGAGAGCUCCCUCUGUGUAGCCCACAGCCUGGGCCGCCUUCUUCACGCUGGCCACCACAUCAGGAGACCGGAUCUCCAGGAUGCGGCCACCCUCGCCCAGGUGAACAAAUGAGUGGAGAUGAAGGGUAUUAAAUGGCAUCUCUGGCAAUCUAUCCUCCAGAGAGCCCAAAUGGUACAGAAUGCCGCAUUCAAGGUGGUGUAAGGACAGAUGCAUGAAAGAAUCAACUCAUUUCGCCUCAAUUGCUCACAAAUUCUCCUGCAACAUUGAUGAGGACACAGCACUGCUACUAUAUUUCAAUGAGUCUGUAUUUAAUCUACAGUGCAACACAGGCCUACAUGUUGCACAUGCUAAGCCAACAGCUUUCU